CCCUAGCCCCGAUAGCAGCGGCAUCCUUUUUUGCUAUUUAUGAAUUCUGUUUUGAUCACGAGCCUUUGGGAAGCAAAAAAGAUAUAGCGGAUAGCGGGAAACAGC
rnacentral:sRNA from 1 species